AGCUACAGAAGGAGAUGAGGAUGGUCAUUGUCUGUUUUUGAGCUGCGAACGGGCAGAAAGCUACACAAGGAGAUCAGGAUGGUCAUUGUCAUUUUAUAAGCUGCGAACGGGCAGAAAGCUACAGAAGGAGAUAAGGAUGGUCAUUGUCUGUUUCUGAGCUGCCAACAGCAGAAAGCUACAGGAGAUGAGGAUGGUCAUUAUCAUUUUCUGAGCUGAGAACGGGCAGAAAGCUACACAAGGAGAUGAGGAUGUUCAUAGUCUUUUUUUGAGCUGCGAACGGGCAGAAAG